GUCCCCGUAGUGCAGGAGAUAGCGCGCUGGACUUCUAAUCCAGAGUUCGUGGAUUCGAAUCCUACUAGGGAUG
rnacentral:tRNA from 1 species